rnacentral:rRNA from 1 species
AUUGAACGCUGGCGGCAGGCCUAACACAUGCAAGUCGAACGAGCGGCGGACGGGUGAGUAAUGUAUGGGAAACUGCCUGAUAGAGGGGGAUAACUACUGGAAACGGUGGCUAAUACCGCAUACUAUCGGAUGUACCCAUAUGGGAUUAGCUAGUAGGUGGGGUAACGGUUCACCUAGGCGACGAUCGCUAGCUGGGCUGAGAGGCUGACCAGAGACACUGGAACUGAGGAACGGUCCACAAUCCUACGGGAGGCAGCAGGGGGGAAUAUUGCACAGUGGGAGCAAGCCUGAUGUAUCCAUGCCGCGUGUAUGAAGAAGGCCUUAGGGUUGUAAAGUACUUUAAGCUGGGAGGCGUUACCAGCAGAAUAAGCACCGGCUAACUCCGUGCCAGCAGCCGCGGUAAUAC